ACCAGGAUGGCCGAGUGGUUAAGGUGUUGGACUUAAGAUCCAAUGGGCAAAAGCCCUUGUGGGUUCAAAUCCUGCUCCUGGUA
rnacentral:tRNA from 1 species